GGGCCCGUCGUCUAGUGGACUAGGAUGCCGCUCUGACGAGGCGGAGAUCCGGGGUUCGAAUCCCCGCGGGCCCA
rnacentral:tRNA from 1 species